rnacentral:lncRNA from 1 species
GUGACUGCGGACGGAUGAAUAGACGCUGCGGGUCACUGCGCUCUCCCCUGGGUAGAACAGAUGGUUUGAAAAGGAAAGAUUUUUUUUUCACAUAUGGGGAAAAAAAAUUCCCAGCCUUGGAAGGAUAUUUGGGUUAGAGGCCGAAGUGCAUCACAGAUCACGCACGCGUCCACACCUCAGAAAACACUCACUCAUUCCUGAGACGCAACGUCUCCGGCACACAGCUCCGCAGCUGGGGGUGACUAAGAGCCCACACCACGCAAGUAAUAAAACGCUCCAAUUUCAUUUAUUUAAUCAUCUGUGUGCUUCAUUUGACAAAUAUUUAUGGAGUGUCUGCUGCUAGCUCAGUGCCUGGUGCCUGGGACUGAAGACCAGAGCCCCCUGGAGACCAAAAGAGCCAGCUCCCAGCUGUGAGCAGAUCGGGUCCAAAGAUCACGGGCUCGGCGGCAGGAACCUGGUUUGGUAUCCGGCUCCUCUGCGGACUUUGAAGUGCUUUACCGAUUCACAUGACAACUGGUAAAACGAAAACAAACACCUUUCCAGGAAUUGUGAAUUCGAGUUCCAGACCCUCUGGGAUUCCGGGAGCGCAGCUGCUAUUUAUGUUAACAGUCAUUGGUCCCAGGCUGGUGAGGUUAGAAUUUCCAAGUAUAAAAGUAAUUUAGUUUCGUUUUAAAUACAUUUUAGGGCCAAAGAAAAGUGGAACGAUUUAAAGAAAAAGAUGAAAUGAAUAAUAGGGCAAGUUGGGAGGUGGCUGUCCUGAGGUUUCAUGGGACAACAUUAAUUAACCUCAUGAAGUGCCUGCAUGGACAACGUGCCCGGUGUGGUUACAAACAAACCAAUCAGCACAGAUCCUGGGUGGAAAGCAGGGCGCAGCCACGGAGGCACAGUAGGGGUGCAGACUUGAAGGUUUUUAGGAGGUAAGCCCCGAGGGCACGAAGCUCCACGGAGAGACUGUUGACCCGCCUGGGAGUGCAGUGCAGUCACAGCAACCUCCAAAAACCCAACUUUGCAAAGAUAUGGCAUCGUCAGAAGAAAUGGGGUGCAAUCUAAUGUUGACAGUGUGGAUGAGAGUGGGACACCUGCCAGUUGUUUGCAUCAGCAGACACUCAGAGUCCAUGGAAAAAAUGAGCCUAGAGGUUUUUAAACCACAACACAAGCAAAAGGCACCUGGUCCCGUUCCUCUUAAGACAGAAGAAAGAGGCGUAAAACCAGCUCCAGGUGCCACCCUUAAGAAAUGUUACAGUGCCGGAUGGGAAGAGUAAACCCUGAACAUCUCUUCUUAAUACUUUACAGACUUCAAGUGUAUUUUAUGGUGACAAAGCAUAUUGAAGACAAAUGAAACUCUACAACCCUGAAAACCAGCCUGAAUUAUUUUGAGAGACAGACAGUGGCUGCAAGGAGAAGCGUCGGGAUUUUCUGGGCUGGCCAUCUCCAGUGUCACUGACCCCGGUCUACCCCUGCAUGUUUGUUUACGGGAAAGGAGUUGAGGAGGAGGAUGUAUGGCUGAGAGCCUGAAAAUAAUCCAGGGCAGGUGGAGCGAGGAGAGGACUUUACUCCUCACACUCAUGUAGGCAUCCUGAAAAGCCACUUUUCUUUCCAAGGUGGGCACGGGCCUUGAGCUUGGAGUGGAGCCAGUUAAAGUUGUCCGCUCUGGGUCGUCAGAUGGAGAUCUUAUCUUGGGUCAUGAAUUGUGGUUUUAGGAGAAAGGCAGAAGCUAAACCCAUCUUCUGUCUGGUGGGGAGGCCCAGCAAAGGGCUCAGAAACACAGCCACAGGCCUCUUGCAGCAGCUGGAUGCACAUUUCAGGAGGUUGCCUGAAAGCAGAAUUGACUUCAGAGAGUAGGGCAGCAGAGCCCAGCCACAGAGUGGUCCCAGGAGCCAGGAAGUGCCACACAGCCCCUCGCUUAUUUUUACUCAGUAUGCCACAGAAGUCCUGACCUGUUAAAAGUGCCCUUUAAGAAUGGCUGGCCCACCCUCUCUCAGAGGGUUCAUGCUGGGGAGAGGGUUCCUGCAUGCCCGCUAAGCUCCAAAUGACAACCCAGGUGUAGAAAGGGCUUAGACUUUAGGGUUCAAACCCAUCCUAGAGUCCGGUCCAAGGCCAGUUACAGCCAAUGGGCAGUGGUAGGUGCAGCCCAGCCCAUUAGCUCAUUCUUGAGCCUCAGAGGGACAGAGCAGCACUAAUGGGUGCACAAAUGGCUAGAAUGUUCACCAACUCCUCGAGAGUGGCAUUGGACAUUUGGGCAAGGGUCUUAUGGAGGCUGAGAGUUGACUGUGGGCUCAUCACAGCUAUUUUGAGGGUCUUGACAGCCCAACUAGCAAACAAUUCUGCAGGGAUGAGAGGUCAGGGCAAAGGGAAAUGGCAUUGUCAAGUGGACAGCCAAAAAGUCCAGGAUGCCCCCAGGUCCUGGGGAACGGCGGGGGAGGAACUCAGGGACUGGAUUACCCACAGGACCUGGUGAGACCCACAGCCACGGGCUGACUUGUGUCCACUCAGAAGCGUAUGUUAAAAUCCUAACCCCCAGUACUUUGGAAUGUGACCUUAUUUGGAAAUAGAGACUUUGAAGAUGAUCAAG